UAAAAAUUAUUUUUAUCUCUUUUGUUUUGCCCACAUCUCACGUUCCUUUUUACCAAAAUGUUUACUUUAAAAAAAUAUAUACCUAGGUGUUUUCUUUCAGUGAUAUUAAUAUAAAUAUUAAACCUUUAAGUUUUUUCCAGAAUUCUGCUUUAACUCUGUCCCAUCGGUUCUGAUACGUACUAGCUUAAUUAUUUUCAUUUAUAAAAAUAUAUCCCUUAAUUAUUUUUAUUUUAAAAAAUAUAUCCCUAGUGGAAGAGUUGCACAUGAAAGAAUAUUUUAGCAUUUCCGAGUGGUAGAAUUUUUCUCUUUCUUCCUCAUUUUAUUAUUAGUUUUUAAAUAAAUUGCUUUGUGAUUGGAGAAGCUUUUCUGGACUCAGUCUAAUUUUUGAAGUUUAGUAUCAUUUUCUUUGUGGACUUGGAUAUGGUCAAUUUCCAGUAGAAUCUGGGUCUCCGUUCUGCUGCUUCCAUUGUGGUCUUGGUUUCUAGGCUGUCAUUUUUGCUAAGUUCGGCCAACUUGGGUUUCACCUCCCAUUGUCUUGCUAAAUAUUUCCUGAACUAUUGUAUAUUUGUUUUUUUGAGCUCCUGUUUUUUAAAGGUGAUUGUUUCACUAAGUUUUUUCUUUUAUUUUUAAAUUCAUGACAGUAUGUUGGAUCAUAAAUGUCAUCUGUUUUGUGGCAAUAUUUUUCUAGUGAAGCUUUUUAAAACAUAAUGUAUUUGCUUUUCUUGUUUCAUUCAUUAUCUUUUCAUCUAUAGGUACUGUGUGUGUUCCUUUUUGAAUACUACCCAUCUCUAAGUCAGGUCCAGGCUUUCUAAAUUAGCUUUCUGCAAGACAUUUGGACACGGAAGUGGGUGGUAGCCAGGGUUAUAUUCUAAGCUAGCAGGAAUUCUCUUUAAAUAUAAUGUUGUAUGGAUGAGGGACAACUUCGAGAUUUGCUUCUCCUCCUGCAGGUACUGGCAGCCACAAGCAGGGCUGUACACCAGGAAAUCUCUCCCCUCCCCGCUCUGCUGAAACACUAAAUAAUGAACUUUUUAAUUGUUACUGAGUAUCUGAGUCAUUGAAUUCCUCAGUUUUCUGGAACUGUGAUCACACAAGACUUCCCUUUAGAACAGGGAUACUCUAUAGUAAGAAGCCACAGUUGAACUUCACGUCACCCUCAUUGCCACUCUCAUCGAAUACUGUAGCCUUAACCUCCUCCUUCAAUCCAGUUUAAGACUGGGACAUGGAAAAUAAGAAAGUGUUCAGACAUUUUCAGAAUGGAAUAAUGUGUGUGAAGGGCGAGGUCCUGAUGCAGUGGCCACCGGCACACCUGAAGGGGCAGCUUUUCUUUUUGGGACAAAGGGUCUCUAUUGUCCUUCAAAAAAAAAAAAAAUAUUAUCAUACUUUGAUCAUAUCAUCCAGGACAAUAGACUGUCCUGGAAAACAAAAGUCACCAGUCUCUGCUAAAGCUGGAGUCUUUGGGGGUAAAAUCAGGAGCACAGGUGACACACAGUUUUCCGUGACCUAUGUCUGCAAGGCAGUCAGGAGCAAUAAACUGUGCAGGGUUGAUUAAGCUUGAUGAUAUCAGUGUAGUCUACUGAGUACUGAAAUAUUGAAAUAUUUGUGAUGUCAUCUAUUUAUUUGUAUUGUUCCAUGAGUAUGUAUCUCCUAUUUGCUUUCAUCAGAGAUUCACAGGACAGUCCUCAAAACGAAAAGUUUCUUGUAGUUGUUUUCUGAAACAUCCAAGAAGUACCUGGAAAGACAAAGGGAACGAAUACCUACUACCACUAAUCACUGGACGCUGAUAAUGUGCUCAAGGUGAUAUCUUAUUCACAGCUGCACCAGGUAAGUGAUCAUCCAACAUUUUUCAGUGUUGUACUCAAGGCUCAGAGAGGGUAAGAAACCUGCCAGAGUUAUCCAGCAAGCAAGGACCAAAUCUGGCAUUCAAAUACAGGCCCCGAAGCCUCCAGAGCCUAGGGUGGGAGCUGGCACUGACAUGAGGACAGGAGAGAGUGGAAAAAGAAUUCUAGGAUUCCUGAAACGAAGCAGGUCUGGUCCCGACAAGGGGCCGCAGGCCUCAGAGGGGGACUUGCCCAGUGAGCACAGGGUGCCGGGAGCUCCGUACCUCCCUCCUCCAGCCCACAAUUUUCCAUCACCACCGGAGAGCUGUUUGAAAUACUACAGCUCCAAUCCCCAUGAUCCUCUUGAAAUUCCUCCACCAUCCCUGAGGCCUCCCAGUCCCAGUGUGGGAAAUUCUGCUUUAGAGGGAUGUUAUGAAUAUUAAGGAACAAGUGAUUAUUAAUCUUUUGGCAAACGUACAGUCCUAUAGAAAUGUUAACCGUAUGUUCCCAUUUAACUUCAUUUAUAGCACUUGGAUGACACUAAGACAUUUGCCUCUUGUUUAGGAAUUAUACUAGUCAGGAUUUGCAAAGCAAUCAUUAGGCACUUCCUACAUAAGGCAUAAGAGACGCUGUCUACAUCUUCGUGCCAUCUGAUCCAGAGGGUUUGGUUUGGUUUGGUUUUUGCUUUGAAUAAUACCCUAUAGUUCACUGGGUCUGUUACAAAUAACCUCUUAAUUAUGUGACUUACUCCAGUCAGAAGACUUCAUCAAUUCACCAUUCCUCUGAGACCAUUUACAGGUUAUUAAAAAAUCUAAGUUCCGUAGAGUUGGCCUUCAACUCGGAUGUUAAGCUUGACAUGAUUCCUUUCCACGUGUUUUCAUUUUCUUCUGCGACAGCAUCUCCUGACCCUCAAAAUAGCGCAUUUGUCUCCCAAAUUCAAUUAUCCACAUUAACUGGGGAGCUGCUAUCAGGAUAAGUGAUAUCCAUAAAUGCUCCAAGAAACUUUAACCUUAAUAACUUUAUCACAAUCAAUAGUUCCAAAUUCAUCAAACAGGAUUUCACUAGAGUUGCCAAAAAGGAAUACAAUUUAACUGCUCUGAGAGCUUUCACCCUGUCCUCAUCCCGUGUUUCCAUGAAAGAUGCAAAGAACAGAGACACACGAGAAAGGUGGACAGGCAGAGUCAAGAACGAAACGGAAUGAGGUAUCUGACUGUCAACAAGCUGGGUAAUCUCCAUUUCCCUGAGCUCGACUCUGUUCCUCUCUGUUCUUCCUUCUGUUUUUUCUCUCUCCUCACUGGAGUGCUAAUGAAUACCUUCCACUGCUCUGGAAUGCCAUUGUGUUGUGACUGUCCUCCCUUGCGAGGUCUUUGGUGAGGCCAUGGCUUGAUGUCCUCCUCCCUGAUACAGUCCCCAAAGGCCCUCUCCACUCAGGGCUCAAGUGCCACUCACUGGGUGGGUCAUACCCCCAGCCCCGUAAAAUGUUUCUGAAGGAUUGGGGCUCUGACAUACCUCACCCGAAUCUCUUGCAUCUUUAAUAAACGAAGUUAGUACCAAGUUAUCUUGAAGCAAUCAAGUCUUCAUUUACACCCUUUAAAUAUCUCUAGACAGUUAUCAUGGCCCUCUGUCAAGCAACACGAUGACCCAGUUCUGCCCUCUCUCAGAAAUGUGAAGGAGCAGUAUUCGCGCUGUUUCAAAAAAUCUUUGGCAGCAGGGAAGACUGACUCUGUUGUUAUCAGAAAUGGAAAGUAAAUUUGUCUCUACUCUGUAAACAAAGACGUUUUUACACUGUUCUUCGCAGGAACUCACAGUGCAGCUUACAAACAACAGGGAUAUGGUCAUUGGUCAUUUGUUUCCUUACUAACCAGAAAAAAAAGCCAGGGAUGUUGUCAGAUGACAAUCAUGAAAUCACAUUUUAUUGAAUAGGCUUUAUACUUGUAAGAUGUCAUCUCUUCCUUUUGUCUCUAACCUGCCUUUCUGUCUCCCCCCCUUUUUUUCUUUUUUUGGCUCUUAUCUUCUGGUAAAAUGCAUGAAUCUACACCUUGGAGCAAACUAAACCGAUUCCACUUUAAAUUCUUCAAGGACAGUGACUUUAGUAGCUAUUCGUGUGUGUGUGUGUGAAAGAGAGAGACAGCACCAAAUGAAUGAGUGAGUGAAUAAGAAAAUAAAAGAAUAAAAACUGCAAAAGGGAUCAAACAGGAGCAAAUAUGAGAUAGUUUAAUUUAAAAAAAAAGAAAGAAAAUCUAGUUACAUUGCAGAAUUCACUGUUGCUGUUGUAUCAUGACUAAAACACUCCGUCCCAUAAAAUUGUGCUGACUGAGGAAGGCACACAGCGGGGUGCAGGCUGUGGGGACAGACGGCCCUGUAUUUGCAUCCUGGCUCCAACUUGGACCUGCCUCCCUAACUGCUCUGAGCCUCCGCUUUCCCUUCUGUCCGAGGCAAGUCACCACAGCUGUAACAGGCACCUUGUGGGAUUCACGAUAGAAUGAUGUCAUACCGUGCUUGUCACUAUGCCUGGCACAACGUGCUGAAUUUUGUCUGGGUGGCACUCAGGUAAGUGUCAAAGUGAAGAAGUUUUAAAUUUUUGCUAAAUCUGUCAUGUGUGUUCCAUGGAUUUAUUCUUUCACAUCUCCUACUUCUUAUCUCCUAUUUUUUAAGUCCUCAAUGAUGAAUUUUACGGAAACAAUUUCAGGACUCAUUUUAGGAUUAGGAUUCAGCGCUCCACAUGCCCCGGAAGUGAUAAAGGCCAUGCUAAGUAAUCCCUCUGCUGUGUCUGGGCCGGUCUUCGGAAGGCAGCUUCCAAGAUGCAGGUGGUACAGUGGUCCUGUCUCCAGCCCUCCUCUGAGUUCUCCUCCAUUGCAGCCCUUCCUCAUUUUGGAUGAAGCAGCUGUGCUGGAAGCAUGAAAUAUAGGCGAGUGCUCUGAGAGUCAAAGAAACGUCUCUCAGCAUAAAUAAGAAGCAAGACAUAACUAAGAAGGAGGGAAAAUGCAAAGUGAGCAUUUUUCGAAUCCUAAAGGGUAUCGUUCGAAUCGCCUCUCUUUUAGAACUUCUUAUCUGAAGUUUCAAAAAGGUUCUUAAAAUAAUUUAUGCCAAUAAAACUUGGAAGUGUUGAAAGAAUCCCAAAAGAGAAGGCAUCUUAGGCAUGGUGCCGCCUUGUUGCCUGUAACUGCAGUCCCGGUUCCACUCUGUGAAUCCUGUCAAAGCAAAACCGCACAGCUGGGACUCUCACUGAUACCACUACCACUGAAGGCUGGAAAAAGGAGCCAGGCAUGAGUUUGCUAAAAUGGGAGCCAUGGGAAUACUCCCACGGAGUCGUUCUGCAGAGGAAGUGAAUUCGCUGAGCGAACCCCUGACUGCUCAUGGUCUCCCCUCCCGACACAAAGGCCCCCAUCCUUGGGUGCUACAGUGUGAAGGCCUAACUCCAUGCUCAGAAUACACUGCUAAGUGGUCAAUAAAUGGUACUCAAUUGAAACUGGACUGACUGAUUCAACAGGGUGCUUUUAGAUUUCUCCUGUACACAUAGAAUUAGACCAUCCCAUGGGCUUGCUAUGAUGAAGAACAGAACCCUUCCCUGGGAUAGAUGAAAAGGAGAAUCACCCCAAACAGCAAGACAACCAAGCUACAAGCCGGCACGCUCCUAUCUGCAUGACUGAUAAAGACCAUCUGAUGCUGCCAGUUACUCAGCAAGGCCAUUCUCUCCACAAAGUCACAAUAUUUAUUUUAACACCAGUGACUAUUGAGUGUGUGUGUAUAUCUAUGUAGUGAUAAAACACUGCUGUAAUAUGUACACAGGAUCUGAACAAGAUCAAUUCAUCAGGACAAUCAUGCAGUCUACAGAUGAGAGAGGUUGUUUAUGCAGUGGGUUGAUAGAAUACCGUGAUACAAGUCACAGAGAAGCACUGUCUAACGUUCAUAAUGCAUACUAUACAUUUCACAAUAUGGGCAUUUUGUAAAUAAUUAAUAGCAUGGACCAGAGAUAGCAUUGAUAGGAAGGAGAGAGACAGCAUGCAGGAAAGUCUGCUCAAAUACUCUAAUGAGUGGGAUAGAAAUGUUUCAGCAAGCACGUCACACAUUUUAGAGAUUUUUUUUUUAUCAAGCACUGUCUUGUGGGAUGGUUGAUUUUUCUUCUCAAUGACUGCCUGUUCUACAGAUACAAUUUUGAAGUGUUUUAUUUGUAAGUUAAAAAAAAACUGUUUCCACUGUCUAUGUGUAUGAAAGUCAACAUGGAAAGAAAUUGUCCCAUGAAAUAGGACAAUAAAAUGCAACUGUUUGAGCUGCUUAGA